UUCUUCCCAGUGUUGAAAAAGAAGAGUUCUAUUAAUGCCCAGCAUUUAUCCAGUGGCAGUGUAUGUACAAUACCCUAAUCAGGAACCCAGAGCCUUAAGAAAAUUUCAUUUCUAGAGCAACAAGAUUGGAGUUCAUUACGUCCAGACUUGAUCUCUGUCCCUUUGGAAAGAGUAAAGAAAUGAUUGAGAACUGCAUCAUACACUGUCUUUUGGAUAUCGUUUGAAAACAAGAAACUUUUCAGCAGCCUAAAAGGAAAGAACCUGUGGAUACAAAGGGCUGACUGUAUAUAAUAUGAAUUAAAUAGGAUCAGCAUGAUAUCAGACUUCAUUUAAAGUUACUACCUCCAGUUAUGGACCCAAAACCGAUGAAGCUGAAACAUCCCAGGACACCACAGCAAUCACACGGGAUGGCCAGGAUGUCUUCAGUUACCCAGAGAAACAUCUGUCAGACACCGCGUGACCUUCUAGCUGGAGAAACUGUAAAGUUUUAACAUGAGAAUGGUAUCUCCCUUCUAAUGAUAGCAUAGGUUUCCUAAUUGGGUUGUACCCAAAAGUAGGGCCUCAACCUGAUUUAGUGAGGUGAGCUAGUUAACAUUCUAAGUUAACGGGAAGCCUCAUAACUUCUUAAACAAUAAAGUCACCCUGGAAUGAUAUUUUAGACAUCAUCAUCUUAAGGGAAUUUCUCCAAAAAUAUGAAUUCUUGUGUGUUUAAAAAGAAAUAUAUAAAAGAUUCCAUCUCUUGAUUUUCAGAUAACACUACUACAAUCAAUCCUUAAAUUGUCCGCACUGCAUUUAGAAGUUCUGGAAAAUACUAGAUUUUAAACUUGUGAACUAAGAUCAUUCAAUAUGGUCAGUGUUCCCAGAUGAAACCUUAAUCAUGUACAACACCUAGGAAAGAUGUCGGCAAAGAAACAGUUCUAAUCUAAAUCAGGUCUCGGCCCAAGGAGGAAGAAGGCUCUUUAAAGGACAUUUCUCUUUCCGACAUCAUUGGGCCACAGUCUGUGGCAACCAAGUGUGCUGUGUGGCUCAUUCUGGAGACACACAGCUCUGUGUCAGAGGAAUGUGCACAAUGUAUGGCCUUCAAAUGUCACUGUGCUCCAUGGGGUCGUUCUGGCUCUGAGACCUAACAAAUGAUUAUAAAUGUAUUAUAAUCUUUGUGUCUUCACUUAACUGUAACUGGCAAAGCAUGCUAUUUUGUUCCUCAGACCUAUUACUAAGGCCUGUUAUUAACAAAUUUGGCCUUUAAAUUUCCUCCACAAUUUAUAUCAAAAUAGCAAUGGUCACCUGCAAUUUUUUCUUAAAUAUCAAACUUUGCUUUUCUUCCAUAGUAGCAAAUGCAUCAAAAUAAAUAUUUUAUGGGUGUGUAGUGUCAGAUAAAAAAAUUUGUGUCAAGAGGGUUGCUUUGUUUAAUAAAUACUUUAUUUUUAAAAAGCAAAAGCAGAGAUAUUGGUUUGAUGCUUUUUUCCUGUCUUUUUGAUAAUGUUUUAUAUCUUUUGCACUACAUGUGACAUUUAUGAGAUAUCUCUCCUGUCCCUCACUGUGUUUACUUCCAAGCUCUGGUUAUCUCCAGUAAGUCAUUUUCUACUGUCACAAUCUUUGGUUAAAC
ensembl:lncRNA